rnacentral:misc_RNA from 1 species
GAAAAACGCAAACUGCAUCAAAAAGGAUCAAGAGGUAGUGGUGUACCAUCUCAAACCACUUCUCCGAGGAAACAGACAAAGCCAAGUUGGCCAACCGGUAAGCUACAUAAUUACCAUUCCUAUGAACAUAAGGAAAAAAGGAAAAAAGACUCCAAUACCAUAUAAGGUGGUGCAACCCAAAAUGCUGCCGAGCCAAAGCAUAUCACAUCAAUGCUUUAUCAUUUUCAACCAAAAGAGCAAGACCUAUCCUUCCAGUAACUUAGAAACAGCAGCGUCAGAAUUCAGCUUCAAAUAACCAGCAGGAGGUUAUACCAUGCAGAAAAAAUACCUUCACAUCGACGAAUCCAUGAGUGUUAAAUUGACACCAAGGUCACAAAAUCAUCCCAUAUAUUCCCGUGUCCUCAAAUAACAAACUCAGCUUUUGUCAAUCGAGUCUGGCCAUGCAACUCCAUCACUUCUCCAGAGAACUAUUAAGUGAAAAUUGAUUCUGAAAUUAUUCCUUGAGCCAACAGAUAUGACUGCACACUUUGGAACCAGAGAGGAGCAUGAAAAAAUCAAAAGUGCUAAUUUCAUGACGGGACCAAUUUAAGCACCCAAAAUUCCAAAUAGUUUCUUGAUUAAAUUCCAUGCUAGUGAUUUGCUUCAGAUUCUAGCUUGUGCCACUUUAGAGACAUCAGAACCAUUUAACACACAUCUUAGCUACUUGG